GGGGGCGAAAUGGAUUCGACGGGGGUGAUUGAGGCUAGAGUUGCAUGCCGAGCUUUCAUCGACUCGUAAAACCGAUGAGCCAAAACAUAAUCGCCAAUGAUUAUGAAUAUGCCGUAGCUGCUUAAGACAGCUACCGUUUCUCUUGUCUUUUCCUGUGGGACAAGAAGAGGCGUCGCACAGCAGGAUAGCCGAGAACCACUAUCCGGAUGGUUUAAGGCGAACCCUUUUCCGGAUAAGCGUUUUUAUAAUCCUGCCUUUGGGAGUAUAAGAACGCUCAAUUAAUACGAAGGCUAUGUAUGUAGACGCUCUCAGCUGAACACUUUCGGACGCGGGUUCGACUCCCGCCGCCUCCACCA
rnacentral:tmRNA from 1 species